GUCCCCGAAGAAGCAGCUCAGGGUAGGGGUGUCGCGCCGCCCCUAACCCCGGGCCGCCGGGCAGAAACCCAGCCGGACCCGCCGCCGCCCGGGUGAGAAUUUCUAGGCUUCCCCCCACACAAAGUUCACACCGGAAAUAAAUGUGCAACAGAUCUGAGGCUGCCUGGCUCUUGGAUCUUCUCCCAGUCACUGUCAGGAGCCCUCCAAAGCUCAGAGCCCCACACUGCUACUUGCCGUAAGGAGUCCCUGUUGAUGGAACAAACCACUUUUCCAAGAAAGCAAGCGGGGAGGCAUCAGAAGACAGCUACUGAAUGAUCCAAGCUGUGCUCUGGGCAGGCAAGUGAGUAAAGAAGGCCAGACUCUGAAGUGCCUUCUAAGGAAGCAGUCGCUCCUCCAGCCAGCAAACAGGCUUAUAGUUCAGCUGCAAGGAGGCAGGGGAAGAAAAGUAAUUUUAUGGUCAGAAGGCAGAGAGGGGCCAAGUUCGAGUGUCACCCUGAGGCCCAAGGCUUGGUUCCCCAAUCUGUGGCAUUAUGGGAAGGUGUGGAACCUUCAGGAGAUGGAGCCUAGUGGGAGGAAGUGAAAUUAUUCGG
rnacentral:lncRNA from 1 species